GAUUCGUCUGCCCAAGGAUGGGUCUGCGGCCUAUCAGGUAGUAGUGGGUGUAAUGUACCUACUAGCCUACAACGGGUACGGGUUGUGAGAGCAAGAGCCCGGAGAUGGAUUCUGAGACAUGAAUCCAGGCCCUACGGGGCGCAGCAGGCGCGAAAACUUUACAAUGCGGGAAACCGUGAUAAGGGGACACCGAGUGCCAGCAUCAUAUGCUGGCUGUCCAGAUGUGUAAAAUACAUCUGUUAGCAAGGGCCGAGCAAGACCGGUGCCAGCCGCCGCGGUAACACCGGCGGCCCGAGUGGUGAUCGUGAUUAUUGGGUCUAAAGGGUCCGUAGCCGGUUUGGUCAGUCCUCCGGGAAAUCUGAUGGCUCAACCAUUAGGCUUUCGGGGGAUACUGCCAGGCUUGGAACCGGGAGAGGUAAGAGGUACUACAGGGGUAGGAGUGAAAUCUUGUAAUCCCUGUGAGACCACCUGUGGCGAAGGCGUCUUACCAGAACGGGUUCGACGGUGAGGGGCGAAAGCUGGGGGCACGAACCGGAUUAGAUACCCGGGUAGUCCCAGCCGUAAACGAUGCUCGCUAGGUGUCAGGCAUGGCGCGACCGUGUCUGGUGCCGCAGGGAAGCCGUGAAGCGAGCCACCUGGGAAGUACGGCCGCAAGGCUGAAACUUAAAGGAAUUGGCGGGAA
rnacentral:rRNA from 1 species